UUUUUUUCUGGUCAACGGUACACACUUCUCUUUUUUUAAUUUUUUUUAUUCCAUUCCCGGUGAUCCUGUCACGCUAAACACAAAUCUUUCUUUUCAUUUUAUAUAUCCCAUGGGCGUAUAGACGAAAUAGAAAUUUGAACUAAGUAGGUUUCGAAAUGAAAUAGCCCAUUAAGUAGAGGAGUCAACGGCGCGCACACGCAGUACAUGUGGCUCUUUGAAUAAAAACUGUUGCUCUUGUUGGUAUACAGGCCGGCUAAUAUAAUAGUAUGGGAAAUAUGGGAAAGAGGAGUAGACAAUCUGGGAGGUACAGGCCCGGCCCGGCGCACGAAGCAGGAGGAAAUCGGUACCCCGCGAGGCUGGCGAAGUCGGCACAAGAAGUAGGCGGAGUAGAGGCAGUUCAAUAGCAGUUGUAGGGCACAGCACAGUAGUUGCUGUUCUCUUCUCUGUUGCAUAGGCAUAGAUGGGGUAGGCAACUCAAGCAAGACAGAACUACAGAACUAACUAAGCAGUAGCCACCUGAAGACAGAAGAGCACCUGAAUAAAGAGCCAACCACCAACCAAUCGCCCUGUAGUUUUCUUCGCUGGAGCGCAGGUUUGGAACCCUAUUUUACUAAUAAUAAGAAAGGGGCUUGUUGAAGCUAUGAAGCAUCUUAGAGUAUUCCAUUCCGUUUUUCAGCUGGAUCCGGGCCUUGCUAUUGUUCGGCCUGAAAAAACUGUAUUUAAUUUAGUAGACAGAGAGGGGCUUUUUUCGAAAGGCUAUCAACGUAUACGUAUAUAGAUAGAGUGAGUGUGCGUGCAGGGUGUAGGUGUACCACUUACGAGAAAGAACCCCAAGUCAGUAAAGUAGUUAACCAAACACAAGUAAGUAGUUCGUCAGUCCUUCCUCCGACGCCUCCCGUUCAUUCUUCUUCAUUUCAUCAUGUUUGUUGUGUUGUUCCGUUUAUAGGUCCCAAGCCCUUCUUAGAAAGCCCUCCUCCCUCUCCUUAAGUAAAAAAA
rnacentral:misc_RNA from 1 species